rnacentral:piRNA from 1 species
CCAAGACAGGGGAUGCCAUGGGGA